rnacentral:rRNA from 1 species
ACGGGUGAGUAAUGCCUAGGAAUCUGCCUGGUAGUGGGGGAUAACGCUCGGAAACGGACGCUAAUACCGCAUACGUCCUACGGGAGAAAGCAGGGGACCUUCGGGCCUUGCGCUAUCAGAUGAGCCUAGGUCGGAUUAGCUAGUUGGUGAGGUAAUGGCUCACCAAGGCGACGAUCCGUAACUGGUCUGAGAGGAUGAUCAGUCACACUGGAACUGAGACACGGUCCAGACUCCUACGGGAGGCAGCAGUGGGGAAUAUUGGACAAUGGGCGAAAGCCUGAUCCAGCCAUGCCGCGUGUGUGAAGAAGGUCUUCGGAUUGUAAAGCACUUUAAGUUGGGAGGAAGGGCAGUUACCUAAUACGUAUCUGUUUUGACGUUACCGACAGAAUAAGCACCGGCUAACUCUGUGCCAGCAGCCGCGGUAAUACAGAGGGUGCAAGCGUUAAUCGGAAUUACUGGGCGUAAAGCGCGCGUAGGUGGUUUGUUAAGUUGGAUGUGAAAUCCCCGGGCUCAACCUGGGAACUGCAUUCAAAACUGACAAGCUAGAGUAUGGUAGAGGGUGGUGGAAUUUCCUGUGUAGCGGU